rnacentral:lncRNA from 1 species
GGACAUUCUGUUCGGACUCUAGCUAGGAGACUCCUAAUUGAGAUGGGCAUUCAUGUAGGAGGUUUUUUCUUAGAGAAGAAUUAGGAGUUGUAAGGGAAUAGGAGUCUUGAGUAGGAGUCCUAUUAGGAGUUGGUUAGAAGUAAGAGUCUUAAGUAGGAGUCCUAUUAGGAGUUAGGGUUUAGAAGCCCUAUAAAUAGUCAUGUAUUCC